rnacentral:lncRNA from 1 species
AGACGAAAUGAGAGACAGUGUUGGUGGAAGAAGAGAACUUAAGGCCAGAAGUUGUGUGUGUGUGUGUGUGUGUGUGUGUAUAAUUAUGCCUGAAUAUGUUUUAUUUAUUAUAGUCUAUGUGUGAUUUUGUAUUUGAAAGUAGAUGCUUGAUUCUACCACAAUUAAAAAAAGGAUAUGCUUGGAUUUGUCUGUAGUAUGUGGGUGUGGAGGAGUUCAUUUGAACACGGGCAUUUUUGUGUGUCCAGGACGUAUCAACAGCCUCCUUAGAGGUGUCAUAUGUGCAGGGAAUACUGAAGAGAGUGCAUUAGUCUACAUGUCUCUCUAUAUAUUUUUUCUUUUUGUGUGUGUCUGGUUUUCCUAGAUUUCUCUCUUGCAUGUUUGUGGGUAUGAGAGUCUGUUAGUAUUAAUAUGUGAAUGGGUGUGUGCUAUUUGUCUGGGGAGGAUGAUUUAGGCAAGGAUUUGAAAGUGUGCAUUUAGAAAUUGAGGGCAUCUCUGUGUUAUUAUGAGUGUAUGUGUGUUUGUGUGUGCAUUUUAGAGUGGUUGGUUAUCUGUGUGUAUUUGCAAGGAGAAGGGGAAUUCAGUGUGUUUCUGUGUUUGUGUGUUUGUUUGUGAAUGGUAUGUUUUGCAGAGGAGUGUACUUUUUAUGUUCGAAAGUUAGGCAAUCAUGUAAUUUAUCAUCCAAAUGGGGAUACAUUUGAGAAUGAAAUAUAUAUGUGUGUGAAAGGAUGUCUUUGAAUGUACUUUUAAAAAUGCAUUUAAUUUUGUGUGUGUUAUUGGUGUCAGGAAUUAAGAAAAAGAAGAGAAGUACAGGAGAUAUCAUUAAAUUAUAUAGUUCUCUCUUCGACUGUAGCCUUAUAACAGGGACAUUAAUAGAAUUAACAGGUAAGAACAGGUCAGCCCCAAAGAUGUGUGCGUGUGUGUGUGUGUGUGUGUGUGUGUGUUACCAGAUCAAUGAACUGAGAAAAGAGGUCAUACAUAUCUUGUGGCGACAAAAACCCAUAUGGUUAAAAAAAAAUCAGCACAGUGGAAUCUAAUUGUCUCCCUUGGAAUCUGGGAUGGCUGUCCUACUUAUUUGACCAACAGAAUUUGUCAGAAGGGACUUUCUGUAACUUCUGAAGCUGUCUCAUAAGAAGCCUUGCAGAUUCUGCUCAUGUCUCUUUCCUCUCUGGGAAACAAGUCGCGACUCAGGGAUAAGCCUGAGACACAUGGAGAGAACAUCCUGAUCAAUCUGGUCUUUGCUGCUACCCUGGUCAACAGCCUGAGCUGGAUACCUGGCUGACAAGUACCACCUUUUUCCUACACAGAUGACAACCCAGCCCAUGAGCACCAGAUGCCACUGCUACUCCUUCACUUGCUCAUUCUGCAAAAGUUUGUAGAUCUUCUGCAAGGAGAACGGCAUUGUUAACUACCUACAGGAAGUGGUGUUGAUUUCCAAGAAAGAUCUUGUUCUUCAAACUCUGUUACAGCGUCUUCUCUGGAGAAGUCAACAGUGAGAUGGGCUAAAUGAAGAAGGAGCAGCUUAUUGUCUUUGUUGGUUUUCUUUAUUUUCCUUCGAAGCAUCUGGGGGAAGAGGAAGACAAUGGAUGAGAUGGCGUAUGUUCUUUCCGCCCUGUGAAUGAAUCAGAUUUGAACUCCUAAGCAAAAUAGAAAAUGCAGAAAUGGUGCUCAGGCAAAACCUGAGAGACACCGGGCUCAAGCGACUCUCCUCUGAAGUCCAUCUGAUAAAGUCUGAAUUAUGGAUAAGUCCUUUCCCCCUCAAUAGUCUACUGCUUACUAAAGUGUAGCUCAAUGACUCUGUGGGCUUGGGUAAUCAGCAGGUAAGCAUAGCUAUGCCCAAUGAAGCAGGGGCUGUGAGAAGAAGCCUUGAAGAGUACCUAAAGUAGAAAAUAAGUGAACUUUCUCCUAAGCCCAUAGGAAACAUCACUAUCCUGCUGAAGGCAGGGCAGAGGGAACACAGCAGAGUAGGCUCAGAAUAACUGGGAUUUGGGCACUGAUAUUAAUGUCACCAUAUCUACACUUAUUGAUUGUUGAGAUUAUACAUUUGGCUUGAAACCACAGGAACUAAUAUACUCUAAAUAUAAGCUGAGAAAAAUUAAAAAUAACCACAACUACAACAGUAGAAAGAGAAAAUAUAUGAAUGCCAAGAAUCUAAUGUGUAAAUUAACUACAAGGGUUUAGAAGUUUUGGGCAUCUCCCUGGGGAUUAGCUGUGCUCAGUCUCCCCUCCAGGAAAUCAUUUACAACUCUAUGUCUGUUACCCCAAAAUGACUUAAAUGAAGUUUAGGAUAAGACAGAGACAAGUUCAGAACAAGACAUGGGUGAGGUUCAGAAGAAUGAAAUUGAAAUUAUAUGAAUUUCCAAUUGUUAGAGAUGCAUGAGUGAGAUACAGGUUUUCAAG